AGGAUUUGUGUGAGGUAGAGUGUAAGCUGCAGACAGGAGACUAACACUACCCAGCCCAGACAUAGAAAGGACGCCUCAAAGCAUUCCUGGUGACCUGAAUGGUAUUUGUGAGAAGCAGUGUUAUACUUCAAAUUCUACUACAAAAGCUAAUGAGCCACCUAUCAUGAGACCAGACAACAUAGCCCCUGACACUGUAGCUCCUGAGUUCAUAGCCCCACCCAGAAACGAAGACUUAAAAGCCCACAAUGUACUGCUGCGCAUGCCUGUGCCCGUGCGCGGUAGUCAGAGGAGGAUGUCGGGUGUACCUCACUGAACCUGGAGUUAGGCUGGCAUCCAGCAAGCCCCGGUGAUCGUCCUGUCUCCAUCUUCCACAACAACACUUAGAGGCAGAGACUGAUACCAAGCUCUAUCAGGGAAGGGCAGUGCCUUUUUCAGUAAAGGAGAGCUCAGUGCUCACAUGCCUGGAUCUAAACAACUCUUUCCAGCCCUUUGGGAGCGAUGGACACUAUUCAGCAGGCACCUGUAGAAGACAUGCUAUAGGUUACAGGCCUAUGUCACAGGCAUGUUGCAAAGUUUAUGCCAGUCAGACAUGACCACACCUGGACUUUGGACCUACAGCACUAAGUUGUCUCAGAAACAAGAGCUGCUGUUCCCUGGUGCUGUGAGCAGGUCUGAAAGAGCAGCAUGGAGGCCCCAGUGCUGCUAAAUUCUUGAUAGAGUGCCAUCAAAAUAAAGAGCUACUUAAUGCAA